CGGGGCGCAGCUCAACCGUCAAGCAGCUGAACGGACGCUGUCUCUCAUGGUUGUUUUCACUAAUUUCAGAUUAUUCCAUGCUGAUGGCCGUGCGUGUAUCCAGCUGAAGAACAAUUUUAGACAUAACUACAGACUCCUUUAUCCAAAGCGACUUACAGAUGAAGACAGUGGAAGCAAUCAAAAACAACAAAUAGAGCAAUGAUAU